GGGGAGGAGAGAGGAGGGGAGGAGAAGAGAGGGGAGGAGAGAGGAGGGGAGGAGAAGAGAGGGAACAAAAAGAAAAAAGAAACGAGGCAGGGAGGGAAAGAGGGAAGGAAAGGUUUAAUUAAAAUUAAAUGAGGAGGAGAAAUGCAAUUAGUAGUGGAAUGUUAGACGGGGAUGUCUUGGGCUUUAGAAAUUAACAUAUCAAUUCUUUAAAAAUGUUCAUGCACCUUUUCCUUGACCAAUGAGCAACAGUAACACAGCCUAGGCUUCCCUGUCAUAAUGUCUAUUUGCUAUAAUUUAAGCAAUACCCAUUGUUAGGUAUUUUUCUUCCCCCAUUUAUUCACAAUUACAGAAAAACACCAUUUUGAGCCUCUAGUAAGCCUGCUUCCCACCUGCCUGAUGGUCGUCAGCCGCUAUUCCUGUGCGUGGAAUUGCUUGAUUAAAGGAUCUAAACAUGGUAAAAAGGUUUUGAUAUAAAUGGACAAAUUACCCUUCAGAAAAUUUAUGCCAAUUUACAUCUCUCUAGUGGCGUAGGAAUUAUUUUUUUUCCCCCUGCACUCUUUCCAACACUGGUUAUUCACAGAAAUUGUAUUGGAUUUUUUUUUUUUUUUCUCUCAGCAAUGUCUGCCUACUUUCUACUGACAAUAGCACUUCAAACUCCUUUUUCGGAGUUCCCUCUGCCUCAUUAUACCUGCUUUGUGGGGUUAAUUAAGCAGAUGGCUUGGUAUUACCAAAUCAAGGGACUGGCACUUGACUGAAACAAAGCCACUUACAGGUUCCAAGGGUGUCCGGAUCAAACUCAGCAGAGUUCGUGCUGCUGAGGCCCUGCAGAACUGUCCUGGGUCCUGCCCUUUUCAAAGAUGGUCUUCAACCCUCCCCUUCAAGCUAAAGGGGCCCACAAAUCUUUCUAAUGGAUUAUUUUUUUUCACAAAUUAGAACCAAUGAUUUUGCUUAUAAACAAAUAGUCCCACUGAUAUGGCAGUUACGUUGAAUAAUUUCAUUUUAUGAUUUUUACCAAGUGUAUAGAGACUACGUGUUAAAUGAGGCCCUUCAGACAAUGAAUGAGAUUGUUUUAAAAAUUAGGACUUUAUAGUCUAUGUAACAUUUCUUAAAACACAAACCUCAUUAGGACCUUCAGAGAAAGGUAGACAAAUGUGAAUUCCUCACAAGGAUUUUGUAGUUCUAUAAACAACUCAUUGUCUAAAGCCACAACUGAACAACCUACAAAGCAAUAUUAUCAAAAUUCAACAUCACUUUAAAUUUUGAAUACAUCCUUUGUUUAAAGAGCACACACCAUCAUAACUUUGGAAGCUUUUAAUUUAGAGAAGAAAUGUUGUUUGCCUACUCCAAGUUGCAAAGGAUGGCCAUAAAGAAGCUCUAAGCACCUCCGAAUGAAGCAAUUCACUGAAUGUGCCUGCUCUUUGGUCACAAAAUAAGAAACCUUCGCAUGUGCACGGCGGAAACAUGCCCAUGAGUUCUCAAUGUUUAUUUUUGUGUUUUUCUCAGGAAGGAAGACAGACUGAUAGCUUAAUACCAUGCCUACUGAUCCAAAGCACUUGCUCAGUCAUUGCAGAAGGGUGGUUAAGAGCAUCGGACCAAACCCACAGUUCUGGUAUAUGUCAGUUGCCUGAUUUCUGGUUAAGUCAUUUCAUCUUGCUAACCCUCAGACCUACGAAAUGGAGAUAAUGAAGACCUUAGACACUAAAUAAGAAAGUGUCUACUGAGUUACUAAUACAGAACUGGGCAUACAAUAGGUGGUGGAUAAUUGGUAGUUCUCGCAGAAUUUUCUUCUAUUAUUUUUUUGAGACAGAGUUCCAUUCUUGUCACCCAGGCUGGGGUGCAGCAGUGUGAUCUCAGCUCACUGCAACCUCCACCUCCCGGGUUCAAGCAAUUCUCUGGCCUCAGCCUCCUGAGUAGCUGGAAUUGCAGGCAUGUACCACCACGCCUGGCUAAUUUUUGUAUUUUUAGUACAGACAGGGUUUUGUCAUGUUGGCCAGGUUGGUCUCCAACUCCUGACCUCAGGUGAUCUUCCUACAUUGGCCUCCCAAAGUGCUGAGAUUACAGGCAUGAGCCACUGCGCCCAGCCACAGUUUCCAUCAGAAAUGAAUAUUCUCUGGGUUUUUCCAAGGUGGAGGGCUAUAUACCAAUGUACAGUAUUUCUUCUCCCAAAGGAAGUAUUAACUGCAAUGGCAAUGCAACACAAUAGUAUCGCCUGACUAUUCUCAUUUCAUUUGACCCUUUCUGGUGCACAGAGCACUCCCACUCUUUACUCAACCCAGUGUGGUACGCAGGGCAGGUAUUAUCAAUUCCAUUUUAGAGAUAAAUUACACAGACGGUUCCCCCCAUAUCUUGACUGCAGACAUGUUCGGCUGGCUUGGCAAGUCAAGCUUUCCACUUUGUACCUGCAUACGAUGGGUGGCAGCUUCUCAUAGAGAAGGGUGAAAGCAGUUAGAAUUAAGUGUUUAUCUUCUCACAGUCCUUGGGAGCCCACUGAGAAAAUAUUUCCCCCUUCAUUUUCUGGCCCCACUAGGUGGUGGUAAGACAGAAAGAAAAGAAGUGUGCAGUUGAACUCUGGCCAAAUGCUAUCCCUGCUUUUGCUAGCUCCAGGGAAGAACGGGGCACAUUUGCUACUUCUGCAGGAAGAUAGAUAGAUAGACAGACAGACAGACAGACAGAGAUGGAUGGAUGGAUGGAUGGAUGGACGGACAGAUACAUAGACAGAUAAAAUUCAAAGAGCAGUUACGCUGGGUGGCCCUUAAGGCAAACGCUAGGACAAUGUCAAGAAGCCCCAAGAGCUGGAGGCAGUAAACGUCUGAAUUUCACCUGCCCAGGAUGUUUAUCCAGCACAGGAGGUGCCAGAGCAUGAUUUUGAAUUGGAAUCAGAUCUGCAUGACCCAGAGAAAACUAUACAAAAUAACUGACUCAGUGUGCCCAUCUGUAAAACAGAAACACAUUAAUCGAAAUGACACAAGGUCAUCACCUGGCCCCUGACUGGUACACUUUUUCUUUCCCCAUGACCCCCAACUUGACACCCACAGAAAGCCUUGAGCCAUGAAUCUCUCAGUUUGUCCUUUCCCUGGAUCACAUAUCUUGUAAUAAUUUUUUCCCCUCCUCAAGUCAAAUGAAAACUUUUCUUAACUAACGUUUAUUUCUUAAAUGGCACAUGGUGUUUGGCCCAGACAACCCUGAAGGUAAUCAAUAAAGCCUUAUCAAGUUUAUUUAACAAACCACAGGGCAGGCUAUUAAUCUCAUCCACUUAGACUUCCUAAAAAACAAAUCCAUAUUUUUAUCCAUUGCAGGAACGGUGACAUUUAAGGGUAAAAAGAAACAA